rnacentral:rRNA from 1 species
UACGGAGGGUGCAAGCGUUAUCCGGAUUUACUGGGUUUAAAGGGUGCGUAGGUGGGUUGUUAAGUCAGUGGUGAAAUCUUCAAGCUUAACUUGGAAACUGCCAUUGAUACUAAUGAUCUUGAAUGAUCUAGAGGUAAGCGGAAUAUGUCAUGUAGCGGUGAAAUGCUUAGAUAUGACAUAGAACACCAAUUGCGAAGGCAGCUUACUAUGGAUUUAUUGACACUGAGGCACGAAAGCGUGGGGAUCAACCAGG